UACGGAGGGUGCAAGCGUUACUCGGAAUUACUGGGCGUAAAGCGUGCGCAGGCGGUUUGUUAAGCGAGAUGUGAAAGCCCUGGGCUCAACCUAGGAAUAGCAUUUCGAACUGGCGAACUAGAGUCUUGUAGAGGGGGGUAGAAUUCCAGGUGUAGCGGUGAAAUGCGUAGAGAUCUGGAGGAAUACCGGUGGCGAAGGCGGCCCCCUGGACAGAGACUGACGCUCAUGCACGAAAGCGUGGGGAGCAAACAGG
rnacentral:rRNA from 1 species